rnacentral:rRNA from 1 species
GUGCACCAGGCGAGAAACCUUCGCAAUGCGGGAAACCGCGACGAGGGGACUCCCAGUGCCUACGCUCAGCGUAGGCUGUUCCCGAGCCUAGAAAGCUCGGGGAGUAAGGGCUGGGUAAGACGGGUGCCAGCCGCCGCGGUAAUACCCGCAGCCCGAGUGGUGGCCACUAUUAUUGGGCCUAAAGCGUCCGUAGCCGGCCCGGUAAAUGCCUGGGUAAAUCGUGAGGCCUAACUUCACGAAUUCCGGGUAGACUGCCGGGCUAGGGACCGGAGGAGGGAGAGGGUACUCCAGGGGUAGGGGUGAAAUCCUGUAAUCCCUGGAGGACCACCGGUGGCGAAGGCGCUCUCCUAGGACGGGUCCGACGGUGAGGGACGAAAGCCAGGGGAGCGAACCGGAUUAGAUACCCCUGUAGU